rnacentral:rRNA from 2 species
CAGCCGCCGCGGUAACACCAGCCCCUCGAGUGGUGGGGAUGAUUAUUGGGCCUAAAGCGUCCGUAGCCUGCCGUGUAAGUUUCCCGUUAAAUCCAGCGUCUCAAGCGUUGGACCGCGGGAAAUACUGUACGGCUAGAGAGUGGGAGAGGUCAGCGGUAUUCUGGGGGUAGGGGCGAAAUCCUUUGAUCCCCGGAGGACCACCAGUGGCGAAGGCUGCUGACUAGAACACAUCUGACGGUCAGGGACGAAAGCUGGGGUAGCGAACCGGAUUAGAUACCCGGGUAGUCCCAGCCGUAAACGAUGCAUGCUAGGUGUUGGGUUGGCCACGAGCCACCCCAGUGCCGCAGGGAAGCCGUUAAGCAUGCCGCCUGGGAAGUACGAUCGCAAGGUUGAAACUUAAAGGAAUUGGUGGGGGAGCAC